rnacentral:misc_RNA from 1 species
GGGGGGUUCGUUUCCCGGAAGGGGAGCCA